ACUCCCCAAAUUCCCAGUACCCUUCAUUACUUUAACAUCCCGGUUGCUUGCUACGCUUGUCUCGAUCGGAUCACCUGCUGCAGUGGGCAGUGGGUUCAAAUUCGUUCGGUUUGGGAUGCUCGUUCUGAUCGCUGCGAUUUCUCCUUAUUUGGUGGUAGUCCUGCGGCAGAAAUUUAGCCACCGUGGCGUUGUAGGAAGGAACUUGGCGAGUUAGUGUUUGUUUCUGAUUGGGCUUGCGGGAGGAAUCAGGUCGAUGCUUCUCUGUCUCGGUUCGAUCCAAACCUCCUGAUUGAAUGGGCAAGGUAUUUAUUUGGAGGAUGCCAACUUGAGAAGAAGAUGACAUUGGUAGCGGGGAGAGCAAUUGAGGACUUGAGGCUGGAAUGGAACUUGAGAAGAAGUAGGGGGGCGUUCGUCCCCAUUUCCAUCUGCAGUUCAAUCAGAGACUGAGCUUUAUGGUUUAAGGCUUUAUGUUCCGGCAUCAUACCAAGGGAAAACAGAUGUGCAUGUGCAAUUUUGGCAUUAUUCCUAGGAAGAGGGAGCAUGUGGCCAAGGCUCUUGCCAGUGGUCCUAGUUUAUUAUAGACGGCAGUUCAGUGUCAAAAAGUUGGCUUCUUAGUGGAAGGAGAAGAAGUGUCAUCUGCCAACAAAUUUUCUCCGGGGAAAAAAAUAAGAAUCAAAACAAAAAAGCAGCUUCGGUAGGACAUCAAGGUGAUUGGUUAACCAAUGCUCGUAUUUCAGCAUCACUGAUCCUAUUUUGCUUCCAGACUUGACUGGAGAAAGAGUUGUCAUGGCACGCCCAAUGGUAGCUUUGGAUCUAUUCUCUUCUGAAAAGGAAACCACAUAGGUGUCAAGGCAUGUUGCUUUGAUCUGAAGCUAUGCGGAUUCAAACAUGGGAACUCCAAAGUAUUUAUUACUUGAGCUUCCUAUUUGGUUGUUAGUAUUUUAACCUCUUCCUUUAUCUAACAAUAUAAGUGAUUAUUGCCUGCUCAUUUUGAUCUAGUUAAAUCUAGCAAUUCAACACUUGGAUGUACAGUAGGUAUCAUGUGUUGGUCAAUGGUGAAAUUUAUUUUGUGAGCUGUUUGUGCAACGGCCUCUAUCUGUGCACCUAGGUAUGUAAUAAUCAAACUAACUUGAAUUGCUAAAAAGCGGUAGCGCAACAAGCAGUUCUUUUUUCCUAACUUCUUCGAAGAAAGUGAACUUUUAAGCUCUCUCUCUCUCUCUCUCUCUCUCUGAAUCUCUAUGUGCAUGCUCACGCGUGCGCGGAAUAUGAAGAGAGCUUUCCUUGGAUGAUUAAUUAUUCAAGAAUUUACAGUUGCCGCAGAAAAAUCUUUCUAUGGUGGGAAAUAAUUUGUGGCCUUCCGAAAACAAGUAGUAAUGCAGGACUCUGAAAAUUCCAUGCAACAUAGCAGUCAAAACUAGAAUAUACUGGAUUUACAGCACCCUCAGAUUCAUGGACCAUGGGUGUACAUUUUAGAGCUGUAAGGAUACCAGAUCUCAUCCGCAUCCUACAAGCGCGGUAAAUAUUAGAUAAGAUAUGAUCCUAGUAACUGAGAUUAUUGGUCAAUAUCAUUUAUAACUAGGCUCAUUCAGGACAAACGUAAUCUAUGUACCAUCCAAAUCACUGCUGAAUACAAUUUGUUAUACAGAAAAGUGUACUCUAUUGUCGGACAUGUACGAUAUUACCUAGUACUCCAUGCUUGUUAAUAAGCAAAACCUUAAACUUUAGUCAGAUGGAAUCUUGAGGCAGUAGUUGUGUUUAAUGUAACAUGGAAACACAACCCGUACUUUUUAUUUUAAAAAAAACAAGAGCAAAUGAAACUGUCCGAGGUUAAACAGAACAGUACAAUUUGAACUGCAGGGAGAGACUAGCUAGCUAACUUCUGAAGAAGCGUAUUCAUGCGAGUUUCUGAGGUUUAAGCAUUUUAAAUUGAAUCUGUCGGAUUCUUUUGUCUCCUAAUUGCCUUGAUCUUUUGUUUCCUAAUUGCCUUGAGAUGUCCAUAUCAAUCUAUUGUGGGAAUCUUGGAUGGACUCUCUCCCUUCAAAGCAUAUGAAAUCUGAUGCUCCAUGAUUGCUUGGGCAUGGAUCACGGUGUCGACAGUGAUAGCCUGAAAGGACGUCCACAGCAGGAGGGAAAGGAUCAAUACUCUUGGAGCUUACCCGUGGUCUGUGGAGGCGUGGAGGAGCUGAUGAAAUACUUGCAGAUGUCAUUUUCAGGAGGUGGAUGUAACAAAUCCCAGCACCGAAAACGUUGUACUGGUACGCGCCCACGCUACCCCAUCCGUGGUGCCCAGCACAGCACCAGCAGCAAUCAGCAACCAGGACCAGGCCAGAGAGGAGAGGGGAGUCUAGCUACUGGAUCCAGCCUCCAAGCCUCAGGGACACCGGCCGGUUGUAGGGGCCACACCUGCGGCCACUCAGAGGCAGCCACACCACAUCCAUGGGGCCCGCGUGGGGAGGACCAACCAUGGGUCGACACGGCCGGACGGGGAUGAAAAGAAGAGAAGAGGAGAAAUUCUUUCCUCUCACUGGAUUCUUUUUUACUUGAAAGGGGAAGACGAGGACGCACGCCUCUCUCUGAUCUCCGGCGACAGUGUCAUGUGGAUGCAUGGUGGUGAGACGAAGUGGCAGACGCUGUGCCCGCUGCCGCAUGCUAUUGGAGGAGAUGGCUGUAUCUGUAUAGGACGAAGCGAAAGGUACUGCGUUACAGUACUGGGGAUGGAUAUGAACGUCCAUCGCAUAGCGACGGCUCCUUUGGUUUGGAAUGAUUUUAUUAAUUCACCGUUAUUAUACCUAGGGGAUACAAUAAAAGUGAAUAGAUGAAGAUGCAACUCCUGUGCAGUGCCAUUAUGCUCCUACAGGUUGACCAGCACCCCUGUUGUGCUUGCUAAUCGAUCGUCCAAUACUCCUAUGUUCUUUGUGGGUAUCUCAUUGAUAACAAUCUAUAAUAUGUUGUUGUGUUAUGACAAAAAUCGUAUUUAUCCCACGAGAUCCUAACGAAAGAGAAAUGACUUAAAUACAUUUUUGAUUGCUGUGUUUCUUAACCACGAUCGUUGAGGAAAUGGCAACAGCAGCCAGCCACAAGCGGAGACAAUCAUCAUCAAUGCUUGGACGUGGGACAGCUGAGGACUGAGGGAAAACAGUCCAAAGAAAAAUCUACUAUGCUGCAAAGGAGACCUGAAAGAAAAGGAGAUGGCGCAUGACAUAUAUGAACUCAACGGUAUCAAAGUGACGAAAUCUCGUCAGGGGUGCUAGCUGCUGUAUUAUCGUACUAACCUUUUUUAAAAUUUUCCUGGGCUAUUGGCGCCUUGUCCUCUCAAUAAUAAAGUAAUAGUAAUCCGUAAGCAAAAGGAGUGCAGUGUUAACUGUUGCUGGUUGGAACUACUACUUGGCAGGUGCAGGGCACUGCCACCAGUAGUACUAGUACUUAACCUCGCGGAGGUUGCAGCGCUGAGAGGCAAGGUACGACUACCUAUCCCAUCCAUCUCCUCUGCUCCAAAAACCAAACAACACCGGAAGGAGAGAGACAAGGAUGUCCAUUUCUCUCAGCACCCCUCGUUUCAAUUCCUGUACGGCGAGUGCUCACCGGAUCCAAGAACAACAAAGCCCCUCUCUUUCUUGUUCUUCCUCUGGAGGGUUGGUUUGGUUUUUCCUCUUCAAUUUCAUGGUUUUUGCAACUUAUGACCUGAUUUCCAAAGGUAUGUGGCUGGUUAUUUGGGGAGUCACUGAAUAAGGCGCUCCUGGAUGUGGAGAGGCUCUUGAGAGAUUGACAGAAGAGAGUGAGCACACGGCGCGACGAACGGCAUAAUAUGUAUGUCGUCCUCGCCGCGUGCUCACUUCUCUUUCUGUCAGCCUCUUCUGUUGAUGGCUUAUCUCCCAUCUAGAUCCGCUAGUCAGGGUAAAACCUUUCAGAGUUUGAUUUGAUUUCAAUUCAAUUAGACAGUUUUGAUGUGGGGUUUUUUUCCUUGUAUCACAAAAAUUUUUGUGUGUCUUACAUGUAUAAGAGAAACUCAUUCACAAGAGACAGAGCACGCAUGCCUCUAUGACUAUGGCUUUUCUCCAACUUUUUUUUUUACACUGCCACUUCCUUAUCUCCUAGAUCUCCACACCCAUGGUUUUUUCCUCUUUUAUUCUGUGGUCUUUUCAGUCAUGCUGGAACUGCUACCGAGGGGGCGAUACGGAUGCUGGUGGUAAUGGAGUAGUACUGGAAGCUAUAGGCCUUCUAGUACCGGAGUAAAUGAUUGGCGCUACUAGUUUUUGCUAUCCCCAAAUUUUCUGUAUCAAUCUCAUCUUGCAGUCCUCUUCGCCUCGCCUUGGGAGCUGAAGCAUGGAGAUGCUGCCAGUACACUGCAACACUGAGAAGCUAUCAACGGAGCAGGCGGGUGGUUGGUCAUGGUGGUGGGGUUGAUCAAGUUCUUGUUGGGUCAAAAAUGGAGCAUGAAGGAGGCAAAGAGAUGAGCCAUAUUUGGCAAGGAAGGUGUCCUCACCUCGCCCCUGCCAGAUAACAAGCUUGCAUCUAGUACAGGAUCGGAGCUUCGAUCACCUAGCAAAUACACCGUUAAGCCAUUAAUAUGCAACACUAUUAAGGUAUUUCUGUGAUCUUUGCUUCCUUUGGUUAGUCACUUGGUGUCUGGUGGUUUUCUUGGUAGUUAUCAGGAACAAAUUGCUGCCACUUUCGGAUGAGUUUGUACUUAUUGCCUAUCUCUUGCGUUUGGAUAAAUCUUUGUUGUUGCCGUGACAUGCAUGCAUGAUAUGCUAUUGCCUAAAAGAUUCAGGGAUAACAAUGUAAAUUCACUUUUUGAUGGAAAACAUACAGCGAGGCUUCACUCUUACAUUAAAAUAAAAGAUGCACUUUCUUUGUAUCCACUGUUUCAUACGCAUACUAGCUAGCUAGAUUAUGUUAACUGAACCCACGAAAGAUAUAUAUACACAUUCAAGAGAAUAUCUCCCCUCUUGAAGAGAGAUAGACGCAAAGCAUCCAUAUAGAAAGAAGUGUUAUAUUUAUCCAUCCGAAAUACCGAAUUACGUUGAGUGAACUACCUAGAAGGCAAAGCUAGAUAAUUUGCGUGGAGAGAAAUGAGUGACACGUAGUAAAAACUAUUCUCUAGUAGGAUCGAGAUGUGAUGUCAUUCAAGGUGAUAGAUGCUUUAGAAAAGUUACUGCUACGACUUACAUGUGUAGUCCCUUACUCCCUUUCCAUAUAGGUGAAUGGUAAACUUUUUUCUCGUUGAUCAUCUGUCAACAUUCUUUUUUUAGUUAUUUGAUUUUAAGAAGUAAAAAUUCAUAAAUUUUAAUCAACAAUAAUUAGUCAAUAUAUAUGCAUAUUUAGAGUAUAAAAAGGAAGAUGUCUUUUAAUAUGACAUCGAUUUUGUAGCAAUUGGCUCUAUAAAUAAUUCAUGUUUAUAUGUAUAUUUUGUUGAGUACACACUUGUCAUAGAACUUUUACCAUGUGUUCCUUUUUUUUUCUUAGAUAUAUCUAUGGGCAAAGCAUAUGAUAGUAUAUUAAUAGUUUGUGCAAUAAGGAAGAUGUGUGCUCCCUUCCACGAAAUAUAUGCAAGCAUAAGAGAGGAACUUGGUCUUAUUCUAACCAGAAAUUUCACGUCAUCUGGAAUUGCCCUUGAAUUUUUUCAUCAUUUUAUUUUAUGUGGUCGUAUGUUCACAUUUCAGUAGUACUCCCUCCUUUUUUUUACAUUUCACAUUAAAUUUGUCUUAAGUCAAAUAUUAGACUUGUCACAUUACAUGAUGUAAAUAAAAAUGGAGGAAGUAUCAUAGAACCUAUUUGUUCUAGCUUUAUUUAAUUCCCUGCAUGAGCUUGCUUUGGUCUGUAUAUCAUCAUUUAAGAUAAUCCAAAAUUUUUUGCCAAAAUGCUUGACAUGUUCAAAAAAAAAUUAUAAUGACAUAUACAUGUUCUUUUUUCCAGUAUCGCCUUUUACUGUUUCUUUUUGGGAUUUAUCUGCACAAAAAGCACAGCAUUUUGAGUGCAUAUUAUAUAUAAAGGCAGGAGUAGUAGAGCGUGUUCCACCUCCCCGCUAACUCUAAUAUAAUCAAGAAACAUGAUAUUAUUAAUGUGAUCAAACAUUUCUGUUACCUACAACCAUAUAUGCUUCUUUCCUGAGCCAUGCAUGCAUCCUCAGCAGUAUAAGAGCAUCUUCAAAAGACUUUGUAUAUUUUUCCUAAAUGCUAGGAAUAGUAAUUUUGGUGAAAAACUACCCUCCAACAGCUUCUCUAAAUGGUCAUCCAAAUAUAGCCAUUGUCUAUUCCGUGUUUUUCGCUAGCCAAAUAUAGAAGACGAGAAUGACUCUCUAGAAUGCGCAUGAGAUUUAGCAAAACUGUUGGAAAGUAAAAAAAAAUAUAUAGAAAGCGAUUUUUAUGCAAAUGACUCUCCAAAUGAUAAUUUAGAGAGUAAAAUUUAGAAAGACUCUUGGAGAUGCUCUAAGCUGUCCGUUGUUUACCAAGCCAUGUAACUGCAUGAACGUACAAGUGGAGCCGCAGGAUUGUGUGCGCUCUCGUUAGCUAAAUACCAUGUUAUUACAAUGUUAUAAAAAUCAUUCAUCUCAGCGUCAAAGAUGAAUUUCAAUCUGAAUUGUUGUGGCUACGCUUCACUUUAGGUGUACUGCAUACAUGAUUUUUGUCAUGAUUUUUGAAACAUUGUAGCAUGGUAUUUUGGCUAAUGAGGGUGCCAAUGAUUUUCCUUAAUGUAACGCUCCUUCGGUCAAAAAGAAUGCAAUUCUAUGUUUGGGAGGAAUUAAACUUUCUUAAGUUUCAUUAAAUUUAUAGAAAAUAAUAACAACAUUUAUGUCAAUGCCUACAGAUAAAUUUGCUCAUAAUUAACAUAAUGAUACUUACUCCCUCUAUUCACAGAAGGAUGCAAUUCUCACUUUUCAAAGAGUUGAACUAUUUGAAGUUUGACCAAAGUUAUAUAAAAGGUACUAACAUUUAUGAAAACUCUAAACACUUAUUUUUCUUUUUAAAAGGUUCUACAAGAUUAGUACUCAUAAAUUAAUUAUGAAGUAUAUCUUCGUAGUAAACCUAGUUAGAGACUUAAAUGUUAAUUAUAUUCAAUGUGAACUUACACAAAUCCCAAGUUUAUAGUUAAGCUAGUUAAUUUUACUUUGCACAAAUACCUUUUGUAUGGAGGAAGCAUAUCAUAAAUGUUUGUAUUUUUUCAUAUAGAUUUGGUUAAAUUUGAAAUCAUUUGAUUCCUCGAGAAGUGAAAAUUAUAUUCUUUUUAAGAUGGAUGAAAUAUUUGAUAAUAUCAUGUAAACAACUAUUAUUUUUAAGAAGUGGCACUUCUUGCGCAUCGAAGGUGUGACCUUAACUUGGUCAAGAGACAAAUCACUCUAAUGAUCUGCUUAGUGUGAUUCAUCGAUCUCUUGAGACAGGCCAAGUUAUUUAAGGAAGAUUUUUUUAAUUCCACACAUGUUAUUAUUAUUUAAGUUAUAGAUUAAAUUUAAAGAGUCUAAUUAAGUAAAAAUUUUGUGAAUCAACUUGCAUGAUUAUAUUAUUUGUGCUACCAAAUAAUCAUAAAUAUAAACAUUGUUUGGUAUGGAGUAUUGGGUGUACAAAGUGUUCUUAAAGGAUUUUUUCAAAGUGUUCUUAGAGGGAUGGCUUAUUAAUUAACACACAAUUCAUACUACGAGUUAUAUGCUCUAGGAAGUCUAUUAAGCCCACGUGUUCUGGUUAUAUAUUAUAACGAACUCCCCCUCUUUUACCCAACAUAUCUCUAGGACAUGCUUCUCUUAGGGAAGAGAUGGACUAUGUUAUCUAUAUAUCAUUGUUAUAUUUGUCUCACAUCUACAUAUAUUUCACUGAUGCUGCUACAUCAUGAGAAAUAGCUAAGUGACGUUGUUAUGCAUGCUCCUAUAGCUAUGAGUAAAUCACCGAGGGCAUAUAAUAUGCCCAAUUUAUCCCAAUUGCUUGUCAUCUCUUAAUGUGCUAUCACUUUAUGCAUGAAAAUAUUUGAGUUCAACUAGCUGGAUGUCGUUUGGCUGAUAAGCCAUGACAGAAAGUACUGUUGGCUGAUUUGUUGUGAGAGAAAAAUACUGCUGAAUGGCUGGCAGAUUCGGUUGAUAAACUUAAACGAAUCCGUUCCUCUAGAACAGAAAUACUUCUACACCUCUCCCAUUCAAUAAAAAAGAUUAUAAUGACACUAUCUUAGCUUUAAUAUGAUCAUAUUUUUAUAUAAUUUAAUAUGGCCAUAUAAAAACUAAACAUGUAGGCUUUAUUAAUGCUAUUGUUUCACACAUAUAAUACACAGCUAUAUUUGUUGUUACAUCCAAUGUGAUAUUUAAUUUUUGUUUGUGAAAUGAGUAUCUGUUCUUGGUACAUAUAUCCCUUUUCAUAAUUCCUGAUGUGAGAGAUACUCUACCACAUCUAUGUCAUGAUAACCGCAGCACAUAUGCAUGAUUUAUGUUUUUCUUAGAGAGAAUGUUUGUGAGAAACAAUUAAAAAGAUAUAAGAAAGUUCCACUCUAGCGGGCCUCUUUAAGAGUGUGACAAGAUUGGGGUACUGUUGAAUAUUUAUUGUCCAUCCAUGCAUGGUUUAUGGUUUUCGUAACUUCUAUUGAUGGAAUAAAAAAAAAUCUGAGCCUCUAGAUCCUGAUUAUAGGCUAGUCUUCGUGGGAUUUUAUUCUCAUUAGUUGAGAUGUCAUAUAAGCAAGUUUGAUGAUAUGCUAAAGUUAUGAAGAGAGAUAGGAAGAGUUUCAUCUAGAUAUAGACUUGGUGUACACUCUUGGCACUUUUUCACAUUUAUGAUAUAUCUCAUGUGGGGACUCUAGCCCUGAACAUGGUGUUUAACCUGCAAGGCUCUGGAAUUUGUACCGAUCAUAUAGUUCACACAUCUUUGUCGGCAAGUUACUUCUAGUCCUUUGGGCCCACUAGAUCUUUACCAAGCUCAUAUACUUGUAUGCAGGGGGUGUUGUUUCAAAUUCACGGCCUCCUUGGCCCAACUCCCAUAACAUGAACUCUUCAAAGAUUGUUAGGUCGACAUCGGUCCUAAAAUGAGCCAUUUUCUGAUAGCCCUUUUUGACUUCCUCCUCGUCUGUCACACCUUCAAUAUCAACAAUCUUCCGUUUUGCUUGGAGCACCACAUGUUUGUUCUUGUAAGCAUUGUCCUUUGCAUAGAAGAUUGUUCUUUUGCAAGAACUAAUGUUGUCUCUGUACACAAUGUUUUUGAGAUCAUGAUAGUCAUACCAUCCCGGUCAGUGAAGAUCUUCAGGAGUCGUACAAAGAAAAGGCACCUUUAAUGCACUGUAGUUUAGCUCCCAGAUCUCUUCUAUAAGAUCAUAAUACAUCUCCACUCGUCAUAUACAUCAAAACGGACAACUGUUUUGGUUUACU